rnacentral:rRNA from 1 species
UACGGAGGGGGCUAGCGUUGUUCGGAAUUACUGGGCGUAAAGCGCGCGUAGGCGGACCUGCAAGUCGGGGGUGAAAGCCCGAGGCUCAACCUCGGAACUGCCUUCGAUACUGCGGGUCUCGAGUCCGAGAGAGGUGAGUGGAAGUCCUAGUGUAGAGGUGAAAUUCGUAGAUAUUAGGAAGAACACCAGUGGCGAAGGCGGCUCACUGGCUCGGUACUGACGCUGAGGUGCGAAAGCGUUGGGAGCAAACAGG